rnacentral:pre_miRNA from 7 species
CUCUGUGCAAAUGAAAGAACCUAGUGGGGAAACCUCCACUCAAUUCCCAAUUCGGUGUGCACCCAAGAAUCACGAACAGAACA